rnacentral:rRNA from 1 species
ACCCGACUGCUAUCGGAUUGGGAUUUAGCCAUGUUAGUUGUGCGUUCCUUGGCUACAGGGGACGCAGCAUACGGCUCAGUAACACGUAGUCAACCUGCCCUGGAGACGCGGACAAACCCGGGAAACUGGGGCCUAUCCGCGAUAGAUGACCUCAUCUGGAAGGAGAGGUCGUCCAAAAGGGUGCACGGGUAUGCUCUGUGCAAACCGCUCCAGGAUGGGACUGCGGCCGAUCAGGCUGUUGGCGGGGUAAUGGCCCACCAAACCUGUAACCGGUACGGGCUUUGAGAGAAGGAGCCCGGAGAUGGACACUGAGACAAGGGUCCAGGCCCUACGGGGCGCAUCAGGCGCGAAAACUUCGCAAUGCGCGAAAGCGUGACGAGGCUAGUCCGAGUGCUUCCUGCUAAAGGGAGCUUUUCUCGGCUCUAAAACGGCCGGGGAAUAGGGGGAGGGCAAGUCUGGUGUCAGCCGCCGCGGUAAUACCAGCUCCUCGAGUGGUCGGGACGAUUAUUGGGCCUAAAGCACCCGUAGCCGGUUCUGUAAGUCCUCUGUUAAAUCCAGUCGCUCAACGGCUGGUCUGCAGAGGAUACUGCAGGACUAGGAGGCGGGAGAGGCGGACGGUACUCCGCGUGUAGGGGUAAAAUCCUUUGAUCCGCGGAAGACCACCAGUGGCGAAGGCGGUCCGCCAGAACGCGCUCGACGGUGAGGGGUGAAAGCUGGGGGAGCGAACCGGAUUAGAUACCCGGGUAGUCCCAGCCGUAAACGAUGCGAGCUAGAUGAUUCGAUUGCAUAUCGCGAUCGAAGUGUCGCAGGAAGCCGUUAA